rfam:Edhazardia aedis TSNM 41457 supercont1.7, whole genome shotgun sequence.
GUCAGUAUGGCCGAGUGGUUAAGGCGUUUGAUUCGAAAUCAAAUGGGCGUGCCCGCGUAGGUUCAAAUCCUACUACUGACG